ACGAGGACGACGCUGGGGGCGCGUGCCUAAUACAUGCAAGUCGAACGGUCUUUCUAUGGAAGCUUGCUUCGCUGAGAAGAUAGUGGCGAACGGGUGAGUAACACGUGGGUAACCUGCCCAUAAGGAGGGGAUAACAUCCGGAAACGGGUGCUAAUACCGCAUAGUUUUCUUGAUCGCAUGAUCGGGAAAGGAAAGACGGCCUUUGUGCUGUCGCUUAUGGAUGGACCCGCGGCGUAUUAGUUAGUUGGUGAGGUAACGGCUCACCAAGACGAUGAUACGUAGCCGACCUGAGAGGGUGAUCGGCCACAUUGGGACUGAGACACGGCCCAAACUCCUACGGGAGGCAGCAGUAGGGAAUCUUCCGCAAUGGACGAAAGUCUGACGGAGCAACGCCGCGUGAGUGAAGAAGGUUUUUCCGGAUCGUAAAACUCUGUUGUCAGAGAAGAACAAGUUGGAGAGUAACUGCUCCAGCCUUGACGGUAUCUGACCAGAAAGCCACGGCUAACUACGUGCCAGCCGCUGC
rnacentral:rRNA from 1 species